UACGGGGGGGGCAAGCGUUGCUCGGAAUUACUGGGCGUAAAGGGCUCGUAGGCGGCCAACUAAGUCAGACGUGAAAUCCCUCGGCUUAACCGGGGAACUGCGUCUGAUACUGGAUGGCUUGAGUUUGGGAGAGGGAUGCGGAAUUCCAGGUGUAGCGGUGAAAUGCGUAGAUAUCUGGAGGAACACCGGUGGCGAAGGCGGCAUCCUGGACCAACACUGACGCUGAGGAGCGAAAGCCAGGGGAGCAA
rnacentral:rRNA from 1 species